GAUGAACGCUGGCGGCGUGCCUAACACAUGCAAGUCGAACGAAGCACUUCGAUUUCCUCGGAAUGAAAAAGUGACUGAGUGGCGGACGGGUGAGUAACGCGUGGGUAACCUGCCUCAUACAGGGGGAUAACAGUUAGAAAUGACUGCUAAUACCGCAUAAGCGCACAGUAUCGCAUGAUACAGUGUGAAAAACUCCGGUGGUAUGAGAUGGACCCGCGUCUGAUUAGCUAGUUGGUGAGGUAAUGGCUCACCAAGGCGACGAUCAGUAGCCGGCCUGAGAGGGUGAUCGGCCACAUUGGGACUGAGAUACGGCCCAGACUCCUACGGGAGGCAGCAGUGGGGGAAUAUUGGGCAAUGGGCGAAAGCCUGACCCAGCAACGCCGCGUGAAGGAAGAAGGCCUCGGGUU
rnacentral:rRNA from 1 species